rnacentral:rRNA from 2 species
GGGGAUUAGUGGCGAACGGGUGAGUAACACGGUGGGCAAUCUGCCCUGCACUCUGGGACAAGCCCUGGAAACGGGGUCUAAUACCGGAUACGACCUGCCCUCGCAUGGGNGUGGGUGGAAAGCUCCGGCGGUGCAGGAUGAGCCCGCGGCCUAUCAGCUUGUUGGUGAGGUAGUGGCUCACCAAGGCGACGACGGGUAGCCGGCCUGAGAGGGCGACCGGCCACACUGGGACUGAGNCANGNCUCNAAAUUUAUACGGGAGGCAGCAGUGGGGAAUAUUGCACAAUGGGCGAAAGCCUGAUGCAGCGACGCCGCGUGAGGGAUGACGGCCUUCGGGUUGUAAACCUCUUUCAGCAGGGAAGAAGCGAAAGUGACGGUACCUGCAGAAGAAGCGCCGGCUAACUACGUGCCAGCAGCCGCGGUAAUACGUAGGGCGCGAGCGUUGUCCGGAAUUAUUGGGCGUAAAGAGCUCGUAGGCGGCUUGUCACGUCGAUUGUGAAAGCCCGGGGCUUAACCCCGGGUCUGCAGUCNAUACGGGCAGGCUAGAGUUCGGUAGGGGAGAUCGGAAUUCNUGGUGUAGCGGUGAAAUGCGCAGAUAUCAGGAGGAACACCGGUGGCGAAGGCGGAUCUCUGGGCCGAUACUGACGCUGAGNAGCGAAAGCGUGGGGAGCG